rnacentral:lncRNA from 10 species
CACUGCGCAUGCUCCCCAGCUGGGCCGGCUGCGGACGCGGGAAGGGAGGUGGUGGCGACUGACGGAACUGGGUGAAGCUUCUGCAGAUGGCCUCCCCUCUCUGCGACUGGUUCCUUAUCGAGGCAAUGGAGAUGUGGACUGCGGUGACUGAUCAAGCCUCACAUAUCUACUGAAUCAGGAAGCCCGAAGGCCUGAGGCCUCCCGAGUGGCCCCAUGGGAGCGUCGUGCAUUUUUCUGGUCAGUCAGUCAUUAGGGGAAACGAUGAAUGAGCCAGGCCAGCAUGAGAAGGCCUGCAUGCUAUCGGAUCUUUUUCCUGAAAACAUCGACAUGGGACAUGUUCAAACCAAAUUUUCUUUAUAAGUUAUAAGAAAAUCAGGCGGAGGCUAAACUUUUUUUUUUUUUUGGCAAUGCUGUUGAGAAUAUUACAUUAUGUUCCCACAAUAGCAUAAAUGUAUGUCUUAUCACUUGAAUGGAGCCCAGACAAUAAAAGGGCGCCUGAGAGUGGAAAUACGCCUAUGAGAAAGGCCAAGCCAGCCUUUCGUGAUAACAGCAGCAGGGAGGGAAGAGUGCACAGAGCUGACCACAGCACAAAUGUCGCAGACCCUUGAGGACCGCGCCAGGGCUCAGAGCUCCACCCAAGGGCUUGUGAUCCUCACCCCAGCCAAGUUCCUUCAGACCCCAGGGUCUUCGUUUCGUGACUUAUAAAAUGGGAAUUAUAUGUCAUGGGAGUGUUGGGGGGAAAAUGCAACCAUUAGCAAAUGCUUUCAAAUAUAAUAUGUAUUAUCAA